CCGCUCCAGGCCACUUACAUUCAGGCUCCCGCUCCUCCGCCAUCGCUUCCUUCCCUCCAGCUGCCUGGGCUGGGCUGUCGCCGUGGAAACCACAAACAUUCUAAGCCCUCCUUGGCUUCCUUCACUGCUGAGCAACCAGGCACAGCCCCUGCUGCGGAACCUCCCCCCAACUCCUCCCCUCUUCUGUGCCUUCUGAAACAGAGUAUUGCCAGAAAGAGAGUACUGGAAGGGCGAUUCUGCUGGUUCUUAGAAGUAACUUUGACACCAACCCUCACUACUUACAGCUCUGAAAUUAGAGAGACGGUGAUGUAGGCAUUACUGGUUGUGAGGAUGGAAUUACACGGACUGCAGAAAUGCACAAUGAAUCCCCUACUUUAAAAAUGCUCGGUGAAGAGGAGACCACUGGGGAGUAAAAUGCAGUGUGAUGUGAGCAGCAGUGGAGAUGGGCGUGGACCGGCAGAGGAAGGAGUGAAGGAUUCUCAUCUCAUGGGCUGCGGAGGCUUCCAGAAAUACCACCUGUUCCAGUUGUGCAGGAUGGGCGAGCGGGAGUUCCUUGUCAAUCAUGGGGGAGGGUCGGGGAGCAUCAGUCAGAAGAACUGAUGGGUUCCAAAAGGGAAGAGGUCACAAAUAAGUGAUUCCAGUUACUGCUUUUCAGCUAUUAGAAUCUGCUGUGCAAAAACGAACCGACUUGCAAUAACUUAAAACAUCUUUGUGCUUCCUAAGCUCUGGAGAAACUGAAUAAUGCUUUUAAGAAAUUUUAGGUAGAAUGCAAAGCAAA